rnacentral:misc_RNA from 1 species
AAAUGUUGAUUUAGAAUUCAGAUGAUGAUGGUGCUAUUUCAAGUUGUCAAGGCAUGGAUCUUAGUCCUGAUCGUAAUUUUCAAAACAGUUCGUGUAAGUUCAAAAAGUGACUUGAGCAGCGACCAAUAUGCCACACACUCCAAAGCACACCUGGAAUAUUUAUCUGUUUCUUUGGAGGAAGAACGGAAGAUUUCUGAAGAUGGCCCACCAAAACUCGAGACGGUUGGAGAGACCCUCGUUGUACCCCAUUACGACAAACUUGUUAAUCUUGAUUUAAUUUUUAAUUCUAAGGUGUCCCUUAUUUUGGAGGAUGGAGAGACUGGAACACCUCUGUCUUUUUCAUUGGAGAGAGAGAAGAGUCCGUUUGGACUUACCUACUUCUGAGUCACUGUCCCUGUACUUGACCAGUAGUUUCCAUGGCUGGGACUCUCUGAAUGUCACCGUACAUGUGACAGAUGCCUCCCCUUUGGGUCACCACUAGGGAUAUGGUGGUUCCUCUGUGUGGUAGCCUCUGACAACAAUUGCUGUCCUGUACCGUGUGGUUCCUCUGUUUCAGGCGGCAUCUCCAGGUGAGGAUGGUUCGUAUCACAUUUAGUACUCUAUCAAUUUUCUCAAUGUGGCUAUACUUUCUACCUAAUGUCUUUCCACUUAAUGAACUUGAGAAAACAAAUGAACCACUGCCUCUUCUGACUGCAGGAAUUUUUUUUUGUAACUUCCUAGCAAAGUGGUAGACAAGACUUUGCAAAUUUCCAUGCUAAUGUGACAUUCUUCAUUUCUGGUUUUCUAGGAAUUUAAGCAUUUGUUUUUCCUAUAGAAAUGACUAACUCUAACUAUAAGGACGGUCAUGCACAUUUAUUUUCAAAACAUGUAGAUUCAAUUAACUGAUUUAGUGUGGCUAUCAUUUUUAAAGCUACAUAUGCUAGAUUUGAGAGGGAGAAAAAAUUAUUUUAUAGUUUCAUCCAGAACACUUCUAAAAGAUUUAUUUACCAGAAACAUGCUUUGGACUGUGUUCAUGAACACAUUAAAACCAGGCUGAGAAAACGCAGCCGAGACCUGAACAAUUUGAGGAUUGUGUUUGUUGAUUAGAGGGAUGGGUGAACAGUAAAUAAGCCGUGACGAGAUACGUUACCCUCUGACAGAAGAAUUUCAAAGUUCACACAAUAGUGUACGGAGGAGAGAACAAAAUUUUCUGGUUAAAGGGGAAUAACUCUUUUUUGUAAUGAAAUAUGUUAACCAUGAACUCAGUUUG